CGCGUUUCGAGAACGUUCGACCCCCGCACCUGCCGUUUCCUAGGCGAGGAUCCUCGAAGAGGAGAUCGAUUUUGCGAGUCUGAAUUUCAGGACGCAUUAUCAGCGGCGCUCUCGAGUGUCAAGAUGAGACGAACCAGGCCAGUCGCUAACAGAUAAGUGCCGACAAACGCUUCGUGUAUGGAAUGCGCAACACAUGUACUCCACCGUUGCUCCGGCACUCGGUGUAUGCAGGGCUGACAUUUAAUGGCGAUUAUUAGAUGCAAGGGGCUCGAGGAGGAGUAAAGAAGAUGAGCGGAUUCGAGAGAUAACAGGGAAUCGUGAAAAGGGUUAUCGUUCGAGGUUCAUUGUCGGGGUUACGGCCAUUGGUUGACAUUGGGCUGAGUCAGGUAAUUCGAGGAUGACUCAGAUUUGUCAGUUAUCCUAAGCCAGGUGAUUGAGGGUACUCGAGAUAAUCCAAUUCUUAUCCCGACUCUAACGAUGAGAGGCCACUUCAAAAGGCCAAGUGCGACGAGUAACUCCAUCGUAUACAUCCGAUGCAAAGCGGAAUCUCUUCAGGGGUGUCCUCAUCCUUAAUUUAACGGAUUUGGAGUAAACAUCGACGCGAUUCAGAGGGAACGAAGAUCUCCCAGGCGAGCCCACGCGCGUAUAUUAAUACAUGUACUCUCGAUAUGUCGUGACCCAAGGAUAUCGUCUUGGUCGCAUGAUCAGCACGUGUUCGGUGCCGGAGGCGCCGAAGAUAAUUCCUGCAUAUAACUCGCGCGAGUACAUCGAGACGCAUUAAAGGGUGCAGGGAGGUCGGCGGAGAGUCAUCGAGGACGGUUCGCUAGUUCCGCGAUAUCCCGACAGAUGGUGCAUCGUUCGCUGCGGCGGGCGCUUCGCACGAUUUACUCCAUUCUAGAUGGGUAGGUACACUGGGAGUAGUACUAUCGUAUUUUUGCGCGGAUAAAUUCGAAUCGCGAAUGUAUGCGCGUUUACUCGCCAUCUAACUAGACAAAAGCCUCGAGAAGGCACAGCUUCCACUGUGAACUCUGCAUAAUAUACGAUAAAGGGAUAAAUAACCAUAAGGAGAUGGAGAUAUCAACGGUGCAAGAAUUUUCGGACUGAGAU